rnacentral:rRNA from 1 species
AAAUUGAAGAGUUUGAUCAUGGCUCAGAUUGAACGCUGGCGGCAGGCCUAACACAUGCAAGUCGAACGGUAGCACAGAGAGCUUGCUCUCGGGUGACGAGUGGCGGACGGGUGAGUAAUGUCUGGGAAACUGCCUGAUGGAGGGGGAUAACUACUGGAAACGGUAGCUAAUACCGCAUAACGUCGCAAGACCAAAGAGGGGGACCUUCGGGCCUCUUGCCAUCAGAUGUGCCCAGAUGGGAUUAGCUAGUAGGUGGGGUAACGGCUCACCUAGGCGACGAUCCCUAGCUGGUCUGAGAGGAUGACCAGCCACACUGGAACUGAGACACGGUCCAGACUCCUACGGGAGGCAGCAGUGGGGAAUAUUGCACAAUGGGCGCAAGCCUGAUGCAGCCAUGCCGCGUGUAUGAAGAAGGCCUUCGGGUUGUAAAGUACUUUCAGCGGGGAGGAAGGUGUUGUGGCUAAUAACCGCAGCAAUUGACGUUACCCGCAGAAGAAGCACCGGCUAACUCCGUGCCAGCAGCCGCGGUAAUACGGAGGGUGCAAGCGUUAAUCGGAAUUACUGGGCGUAAAGCGCACGCAGGCGGUCUGUCAAGUCGGAUGUGAAAUCCCCGGGCUCAACCUGGGAACUGCAUUCGAAACUGGCAGGCUAGAGUCUUGUAGAGGGGGUAGAAUUCCAGGUGUAGCGGUGAAAUGCGUAGAGAUCUGGAGGAAUACCGGUGGCGAAGGCGGCCCCUGGACAAAGACUGACGCUCAGGUGCGAAAGCGUGGGGAGCAAACAGGAUUAGAUACCCUGGUAGUCCACGCCGUAAACGAUGUCGACUUGGAGGUUGUGCCCUUGAGGCGUGGCUUCCGGAGCUAACGCGUUAAGUCGACCGCCUGGGGAGUACGGCCGCAAGGUUAAAACUCAAAUGAAUUGACGGGGGCCCGCACAAGCGGUGGAGCAUGUGGUUUAAUUCGAUGCAACGCGAAGAACCUUACCUACUCUUGACAUCCAGAGAACUUAGCAGAGAUGCUUUGGUGCCUUCGGGAACUCUGAGACAGGUGCUGCAUGGCUGUCGUCAGCUCGUGUUGUGAAAUGUUGGGUUAAGUCCCGCAACGAGCGCAACCCUUAUCCUUUGUUGCCAGCGGUCCGGCCGGGAACUCAAAGGAGACUGCCAGUGAUAAACUGGAGGAAGGUGGGGAUGACGUCAAGUCAUCAUGGCCCUUACGAGUAGGGCUACACACGUGCUACAAUGGCGCAUACAAAGAGAAGCGAACUCGCGAGAGCAAGCGGACCUCAUAAAGUGCGUCGUAGUCCGGAUUGGAGUCUGCAACUCGACUCCAUGAAGUCGGAAUCGCUAGUAAUCGUAGAUCAGAAUGCUACGGUGAAUACGUUCCCGGGCCUUGUACACACCGCCCGUCACACCAUGGGAGUGGGUUGCAAAAGAAGUAGGUAGCUUAACCUUCGGGAGGGCGCUUACCACUUUGUGAUUCAUGACUGGGGUGAAGUCGUAACAAGGUAACCGUAGGGGAACCUGCGGUUGGAUCACCUCCUUA